rnacentral:rRNA from 1 species
UAACACAUGCAAGUCGAGCGAGGGCUGGAGGGCUUGCUCUCCAGACCUAGCGGCAGACGGGUGAGUAACACGUGGGUAACCUGCCCUCGAGUGGGGGAUAGCCCGGGGAAACUCGGAUUAAUACCGCAUGACAUCGCGGCGACCUCGGUCGCUGCGAUCAAAGCUGGGGAUCUUCGGACCUGGCGCUUGAGGAGGGGCCCGCGGCCGAUUAGCUUGUUGGCGGGGUAACGGCCCACCAAGGCUGCGAUCGGUAGCCGGCCUGAGAGGGUGUCCGGCCACACUGGGACUGAGACACGGCCCAGACUCCUACGGGAGGCAGCAGUGAGGAAUUAUGCGCAAUGGGGGAAACCCUGACGCUGCGACGUCGCGUGGGUGAUGAAGGCCUUCGGGUCGUAAAACCCUGUCGAGAGGGAAGAACUGUUCGGGUGCCAAUACCACCCGGGCCUGACGGUACCUCUGGAGGAAGCCCCGGCUAACUCCGUGCCAGCAGCCGCGGUAAUACGGAGGGGGCUAGCGUUGUUCGGAAUUACUGGGCGUAAAGCGCGCGUAGGCGGCUGGGCAAGUCGGAUGUGAAAGCCCUCGGUUCAACCGAGGAACUGCGUCCGAUACUGCUCGGCUUGAGUUCGG